ACUCAAAUGAAUUGACGGGGGCCCGCACAAGCGGUGGAGUAUGUGGUUUAAUUCGAUGCAACGCGAAGAACCUUACCAAGGUUUGACAUCCUGAGAAGUCCGGUGAAAGCUGGAUGUGCCGCAAGGAACUCAGAGACAGGUGGUGCAUGGCUGUCGUCAGCUCGUGUCGUGAGAUGUUGGGUUAAGUCCCGCAACGAGCGCAACCCUCGAUGCCAGUUGCUAGCAGGUAAAGCUGAGCACUCUGGCGUGACUGCCGGUGACAAACCGGAGGAAGGUGGGGAUGACGUCAAGUCAUCAUGCCCCUUAUGCCUUGGGCUACACACGUACUACAAUGGCCGGGACAGAGGGCUGCAAAACCGCGAGGUGGAGCCAAUCCCCAAACCCGGUCUCAGUUCAGAUUGGAGGCUGCAACUCGCCUCCAUGAAGGCGGAAUCGCUAGUAACCGCAGGUCAGCAUACUGCGGUGAAUACGUUCCCGGGCCUUGUACACACCGCCCGU
rnacentral:rRNA from 1 species